GUUUCCGGUUGAUCCUGCCGGACCUGACUGCUAUCGGAUUGAUACUAAGCCAUGCGAGUCAUUGUAGCAAUACAAGGCAGACGGCUCAGUAACGCGUAGUCAACCUAACCUAUGGACGGGAAUAACCUCGGGAAACUGAGAAUAAUGCCCGAUAGAACACUAUACCUGGAAUGGUUUGUGUUCCAAAUGAUUUAUCGCCGUAGGAUGGGACUGCGGCCUAUCAGUUUGUUGGUGAGGUAAUGGCCCACCAAGACUAUUACAGGUACGGGCUCUGAGAGGAGUAGCCCGGAGAUGGGUACUGAGACACGGACCCAGGCCCUAUGGGGCGCAGCAGGCGAGAAAACUUUGCAAUGUGCGAAAGCACGACAAGGUUAAUCCGAGCGGUUUCUGCUAAAGGAACCUUUUGUUAGUCCUAGAAACACUAACGAAUAAGGGGUGGGCAAGUUCUGGUGUCAGCCGCCGCGGUAAAACCAGCACCUCAAGUGGUCAGGAUGAUUAUUGGGCCUAAAGCAUCCGUAGCCGGCUCUGUAAGUUUUCGGUUAAAUCUGUACGCUCAACGUACAGGCUGCCGGGAAUACUGCAGAGCUAGGGAGUGGGAGAGGUAGACGGUACUCGGGAGGAAGUGGUAAAAUGCUUUGAUCUCUCGAUGACCACCUGUGGCGAAGGCGGUCUACCAGAACACGUCCGACGGUGAGGGAUGAAAGCUGGGGGAGCAAACCAGAUUAGAUACCCGGGUAGUCCCAGCUGUAAACUAUGC
rnacentral:rRNA from 1 species